CGACCUCAGUACAUUGAAACACCAGUUUCCCUACAAGCACCGAAGUUAAGCAACGUCGAGACUGGUCAGUACGUAGAUGGGUGACCGCAUGGGAAUACCUGCUAUUGUAAG